rnacentral:rRNA from 1 species
UACGUAGGGUGCAAGCGUUGUUCGGAAUUAUUGGGCGUAAAGCGCGUGUAGGCGGUUCGCUAAGUCCGGCGUGAAAGCCCGGGGCUUAACUCCGGAAGUGCACUGGAUACUGGCGAGCUAGAGGACGGGAGAGGGAAGUGGAAUUCCUGGUGUAGGGGUGAAAUCCGUAGAUAUCAGGAGGAACAUCGGUGGCGAAGGCUGCUUCCUGGUCCGUUACUGACGCUCAGACGCGAAAGCAUGGGUAGCAAACAGG